CGCGCAGGCGGUUCUCUAAGCCCGGCGUGAAAGCCCCCGGCUCAACCGGGGAGGGUCGUCGGGGACUGGGGGACUUGAGGACGGCAGGGGCUGGUGGAAUCCCCGGUGUAGUGGUGAAAUGCGUAGAGAUCGGGGGGAACACCCGUGGCGAAGGCGGCCAGCUGGGCCGGUCCUGACGCUGAGGCGCGAAGGCGUGGGGAGCGAACG
rnacentral:rRNA from 1 species